GACGAACGCUGGCGGCGCGCCUAACACAUGCAAGUCGAACGGAGUCAAGAGGAGCUUGCUUUUCUUGACUUAGUGGCGAACGGGUGAGUAACGCGUGAGUAACCUGCCCUGGAGCGGGGGACAACAGUUGGAAACGACUGCUAAUACCGCAUAAGCCCACGGAUCCGCAUGGAUCUGCGGGAAAAGGAUUUAUUCGCUUCAGGAUGGACUCGCGUCCAAUUAGCUAGUUGGUGAGGUAACGGCCCACCAAGGCGACGAUUGGUAGCCGGACUGAGAGGUUGAACGGCCACAUUGGGACUGAGACACGGCCCAGACUCCUACGGGAGGCAGCAGUGGGGGAUAUUGCACAAUGGGGGAAACCCUGAUGCAGCGACGCCGCGUGGAGGAAGAAGGUUUUCGGAUUGUAAACUCCUGUCGUUAGGGACGAUAAUGACGGUACCUAACAAGAAAGCACCGGCUAACUACGUG
rnacentral:rRNA from 1 species